UGGGGAAUUUUGGACAAUGGGCGAAAGCCUGAUCCAGCAAUGCCGCGUGUGUGAAGAAGGCCUUCGGGUUGUAAAGCACUUUUGUCCGGAAAGAAAUCCUCUGGGUUAAUACCUCGGGGGGAUGACGGUACCGGAAGAAUAAGCACCGGCUAACUACGUGCCAGCAGCCGCGGUAAUACGUAGGGUGCAAGCGUUAAUCGGAAUUACUGGGCGUAAAGCGUGCGCAGGCGGUUUGCUAAGACCGAUGUGAAAUCCCCGGGCUCAACCUGGGAACUGCAUUGGUGACUGGCAGGCUAGAGUAUGGCAGAGGGGGGUAGAAUUCCACGUGUAGCAGUGAAAUGCGUAGAGAUGUGGAGGAAUACCGAUGGCGAAGGCAGCCCCCUGGGCCAAUACUGACGCUCAUGCACGAAAGCGUGGGGAGCAAACAGGAUUAGAUACCCUGGUAGUCCACGCCCUAAAACGAUGUCAACUAGUUGUUGGGGAUUCAUUUCCUUAGUAACGUAGCUAACGCGUGAAGUUGACCGCCUGGGGAGUACGGUCGCAAGAUUAAAACUCAAAUGAAUUGACGGGGUCAUAGCUGUUUCCU
rnacentral:rRNA from 1 species